rnacentral:misc_RNA from 1 species
UCUCCGUUGGUGAACCAGCGGAGGGAUCAUUACCGAGUUUACAACUCCCAAACCCCAUGUGAACCUUACCAAACGUUGCUUCGGCGGGAUGCCCCGGGCGCGGGCCGCUAGGCCUCAGCCCCGGAACCAGGCGCCCGCCGGAGGCCCAAACCAAACUCUUGUUUUUGUAGAAUCUUCUGAGUGGCCUUUUAGGCAAAAAAUGAAUCAAAACUUUCAACAACGGAUCUCUUGGUUCUG